CGUCCCGUAGUUCUUUGUUCAGUUUCAAUGUAAUUGGUUGUUUGAAAAACUUGUCGCUCAUCACCGCAGUUCCUACUGAGAACGAAUACAGAAGAACGCAAUCAGUCUCCCGUGGAAAGAGUUACAGUGUUCGCCACCGAUAUCAACACAUCUCACUGCAAGGCUUUGUUCGAAGUUGGCAACUAAAAAGGAUUCGCUGCUGGUCCCGGCGGUUUCUGAGGCUAGAACUAUCUUAAUUCGAGGCAGUGCCUUCCAUUGCAGCCACAAAUGCUCCGGCUUUACAUCCUCGCUCCGUUCUGAGGGAUUGGGGAAGCAAUGAAACCAGAAGGCGAGCAGGCGGAUUCCUAAAAGUGCAGAUAGACGUUAAAUCGCCUGUAGGAAGAGGAUCAGGCAAUUUCCAGGUGUCCAUUCCUCUUUCAUUGAGAAGGACCUCAAACAGGUUUUCCAGUUGCACAUCUCACUUAUUUGUGGAACAUUUCUGUGUACACAUUGGCUCCAGCUGUGCCUGUGUAAGGAAAAUUUCGCAAUUCAGAAGGAAUCUUCGGAUUUGAAGUGCUUUGUAACGUGAUAAGGCAGAUGCUGGUAUAUCACAUCGAACUUCAGGAACUGAGAAAAUAAUACUUUGUGAAAACAUUCCCAUAACUCUAACUGCUUGCAGAAGACCUUGAGAAGAAGCAAAAUCAGGCUGAUGUCCUGUACAAGUAACUUAUUUCUAUUGAAACUGGACUGGCAGAGACAAAUGUGCACUUUUCUGCUCAAUCUGAUAACUUUUGAUAAAUAUGUUUAAGCAACU